rnacentral:rRNA from 1 species
AUGUUUGUGCAAGCUAGGGAGAUGUUCCAUGAGCAGAACUUUGGAAGGGUAAAUGACAAGGAAAAGUUUGAGAAGGAGUUGGCCAGGCUUAAGAGUGAGCAUGAAAGGGAGUUGGCCAAGCUUAGGACUGAAAAUGACAAGCUUUGCAUUGAGUACACCAAGCUUGUUGAUGAUGUAUCCAAGAUGUUUGAUUGGCAGGAUGGUAGGGUGGACAAGCAGGUGUACCAGAAACAAGUGGAGGAGGAAGAACUUGAGAAGAAGAAGAAGGAGCUAGAGGAGAAAGCCAUGUUGGAGGUGCAGAUGGAAAAGCUCAAACUUGCAAAAGAGCAGAGGUGCAUUUUGCAGAGCCAAGCUGAUAUCAUCAGGAACACCAGGAAGGCUAUGAAGGAUGUUGAAGUUGACAGAGAUGUUCUUAAGAAGGAGAAGGCAAAGCUUGAGCUUGUUGUUGCCGAGCUGCUAAAAGAAGGGUAUGGCAGCAAGGAGAAGUUAGAGCAAAUCAAGGCCAUCCUUGAGUCUUGA